rnacentral:rRNA from 1 species
GGGUCAGUAGGUUGGGCGUGCCUCCGGUACGUACUGGUCUCACUGAUUCCUCCUUCCUGAAGAACCGUAAUGCCAUUAAUUUGGUGUUGCGGGGAAACAGGACUGUUACUUUGAAAAAAUUAGAGUGUUUAAAGCAAGCUAACGCUUGAAUACAUUAGCAUGGAAUAAUGAAAUAGGACGAUCGAUCCUAUUUUGUUGGUUUCUAGGAUUGACGUA